CUAGUUGGGGGGGUAAUGGCCCACCAAGGCGACGACGGGUAGCUGGUCUGAGAGGAUGGCCAGCCACAUUGGGACUGAGAGACGGCCCAGACUCCUACGGGAGGCAGCAGUGGGGAAUCUUGCGCAAUGGCCGAAAGGCUGACGCAGCGACGCCGCGUGGGGGAGGAAGGCCUUCGGGUUGUAAACCCCUGUUGCCCGGGACGAAUGCGCUCCAUAGGGGGCGUUGACGGUACCGGGUGAGGAAGCACCGGCUAACUCCGUGCCAGCAGCCGCGGUAAUACGGAGGGUGCAAGCGUUGUCCGGAAUCACUGGGCGUAAAGGGCGCGUAGGCGGCUCAUAAAGGCUGUGGUGAAAGUUCGGGGCUCAACCUCGAAUCGGCCGUGGCGACUUGUGGGCUGGAGCACUGUAGAGGCGGGUGGAAUUCCGGGUGUAGCGGUGGAAUGCGUAGAGAUCCGGAAGAACACCAGUGGCGAAGGCGGCCCGCUGGGCAGUGGCUGACGCUGAAGCGCGACAGCGUGGGGAGCAAACAGGAUUAGAUACCCUGGUAGUCCACGCCGUAAACGAUGGGCACUAGGUGCUUGGGGGAGCGACCCUCUGAGUGCCGGCGCUAACGCAUUAAGUGCCCCGCCUGGGGAGUACGGCCGCAAGGCUGAAACUCAAAGGAAUUGACG
rnacentral:rRNA from 1 species